rnacentral:lncRNA from 9 species
CCCCAGCACAUGGACAUUCCCAGGCUAGCGGUCCAAUUGGAGUUACAGCUGACUGCCAGCCACAGCCAUAGCCACAGCCACACUGGAUCAAAGCUACAUCUUCAAUCUGUACGACAGUUCACGGCAACACCAGAUCCCCAACCCACUGACUGAGGCCAGGGAUCGAACCCCAUCCUCAUGGAAAUUAGUCGGAUUCACUUCUACUGAGUAACUUAUUUGUACCCCCGCUCUGGCAGCAUUUGCUUUACAUCAGAAACAGUAGUUGAUUUUUUGUCAAAUUUUUCAUUGACCAAAACUUCAUAAAACAGACAAUUAUGAUAUCAUUGGGAGGUAAGCCAUUUUUUCAAGCCAACAGAUUAACUAUGAAGAUUGCAGCUUGUUUCUCUACUGUAUGACAAAGGGAGAAAGUGUUACCAAAAAUUACAGACUUGCAGCUUGUUUAACAAAAACAGCAAAUGAGAGUGUUCUAGAUAUUUUUAAACAAGAAAAAGCAAAAUACGCAUUUAAACAAGCAUUUAUGAACUUUUAACCGUUGAAAAAUUUAUAAACCACUUAAAAACACCAAAUUAAAUAAACUACUCUCACUCAGUCGACAUGAGAAAAAAAUGAUAGCAUUGCAGGCUAAUUCAGAAUUCACCCUCCACUUCCUGUUUAUUCAUACAUCAGAAGGGGAAAAAAAAUGACAGAGUUUUCCUGCUUUUUUAAUCCAAAAUGAGCUCUCAAUUUAGAGCGACAUUUGUCCAGAAGGAAAAAACACUUUUCUCCUUCUGUAGGAACUAAAACCAGAAAAAGCCAGAUUGUCGUUUCAGCUGUCUUGUGUUUCUAGAUAUGGAGGUAGAUUCUAGAUGUUGAGAUUUUUAUUUUCUUUAAAGCACUAAGAGCCCACAGUGUUUUCAAGUAUAUUGUUUCCAUUGCUAACCCUUAAGGCUUUGCUUCAAGACAAUAUCAAAAAGAACCUAUCUUUUGCAGACUAUAUCUUCUGCCUCGAGGUGAAAGGCAGAAACUAUGAAGAAAAUGAGUUGGAUUUUGGCCACCAAAGGUCUUGUCCUGCUUAUAAGUUUCAUAAAAAUUUUGUGAAUGUAUCAUCACAAACUAUACAUAUCUUUUUAAAAAAUUUUAUUGGCGUAUACUUGACUUACAAAGUUAUGUUAGCUCACGUGUACAGGGAAGUGAUUGUUAUACACUUACGCAUACCCAUUCUUUUUCAGAUUCUUUUCCCAUAUAGGUUAUCAUAGAGUAUUGAGUAGAUUUCCCUGUGCUGUACAGUCGGUCCUUGUUAUUUAUUAAUUUUGUAUAUAGUAGUGUGUAUAUGCCAAUCCCAACCACCUUACAUAUUUAGAUGCAAUUCUUUAUAUAAUUAGAUAGAACAUAUAAAGUCAUGUACCACUGUGAGCAUUACCAUAUAUCACAUCUGAUAUACUACAUGUCACCUAUUACUGUAUUAAUUUCUACAUAUGAGAUCUAAUUUACGAUUAAAGCGCUUAUUCAUUCAGCCCUACUGUGUGCAGAACACCAUGCUAGGCAGUGGGGACAAAGAACCAGCCAAAGCUUUCCUGCAGCUUAUAGUGUGACAGAAGAGUCUAGCAGCAGACAAGUAACCCUGUAACAGUGAGUGACAGCUGGGAUACGUGCUACAAAGGACACGUGAAGGGGAGGGACUAAGGGGUUCCAAGGAAGGCUGCUCUGAAAGAAAAGGACAGAGGGUCCUUCUGAUCAUCUUUAAUUCCCCGGCUGAUCCCCAGAUGCCUGCAGAAAACCAGGGCUGUGCAAAACCCUCCUUAACAGAAGGGACAAGUUUCCACUUUUCUAUGUAACGCAUGGGCUAUCCCAAGUUACCUUCACUCCUCUUCCUUUACUCAUCUGGACAAUUCUUACGCACCCAUAAAACCAUCUCUUUCCUAAAGCCUUCCCUGAAAGCAUCAGAGGGAUGGUUGUGCCUUCUCUACACCCAGCCAGUCCCCCAACCACAAGUGUCCCAGCACAGGGCAUAUGCACGGCUUCCUCCUUGUCUGUACAUUCAGCCUCUCACUCAUAAACAUCGAAGAUGUAGGGGAGUUCUCCUUGUGGCUCAGCGGAAACAAAUCUGACUGGCAUCCAUGAGGACGCAGGUUCAAUCCCUGGCCUCGCUCAGUGGGUUAAGGAUCUGGCGUUGCUGUGAGUUGUGGUGGAGGUUGCAGACAUGGCUCGGGUCCUGUGUUGCUGUGACUGGAAUGUAGACUGGCGGCUGCAGCUCUGAUUCAACUCCUAGCCUGGGAACCUCCAUAGUCUGCUGGUGCGGCCCUAAAAAGACAAAAGACAAAAAAAAUAAAAUAAAAUAAAAAUAAAAAAUAUAUGAAACAAAUUUUAAAAAACAUAUGUAUUAUCUAACAGGCACUGUUCUAUGUACUUUCUAAACGUUGGGACACAACAUUGGGAACAAAAUACAUAAAACCUUUCAUUUCUGUACCUGGAGCCACUCUCCUAGAAAGUGUCUGAUAAAUGAGAGAAUAAAUAAAUUCUCCAUUGUUGGCCAAUUUUGUAAAGAAUAGUUCUUUGGGUCUAUGAUGAGACCUACUCUUUGCAGUUCAGGGCCUAAAAUAAUGAACUUCAUGGCAGGCUUCAUAAUUCAGUGGUAGCUACUUCAGCAUGCAGACACUGUCUGGUUUGUGUUAUAUGGUUCUCAGGACUGGAUACUGCAGCGACCUCUAAGCAGAAGCAACUCUGAAGGGCGGGCAAAGCCCCAAACAGUCUCCCAACAGAGCAUAAUGUUUGUGUUUAUCGAUGCUGAUAAAAAACAAAAAAAGCCCCUAAUGUCAUCUUAAAUGGCCUCAGUCAAAUGAAAUCACUAAGCACAUGUAUAGUAUUUAAUAGAAGUUCUAAAAUUAAGUGCAGACAUCCAUCUUCCUGAUUGCAAAACUUUUGGUGACUGAAACAUACUACUUGCUGUCUGCCAGGAAAAAAAAAAACCCAAACCAGCCCAGCAGCAGAAAACUGUCCGGGGGAGGAGGGCCUCUCUUCUUCAGAGGAGAGAAAAGCAAAGGCAGAGGAGAAAAUGGACCAAAUUAACCCUGAGGGAUUGAGGGAUCCAGUGGAGGUUUCAACUCCUCAAGGCUGCUUUAAAUGGCAGCUACCAGCGUGACCCUGAGCAAGCAUCCCUCCGAGCCCCAGGGUGAGGCCCCACCCCAGCUCCCCACAUGGGCUGUGUGCUGGCUCCAGGAGCGGAAGUUUCCACCCAUAGGUGGGGCAACGGAGAGAACAAGGAGCAAGCCUCUGGGUGGGGUCCGUCUGUUCACGUCCCUCCUUGGGGAAGCCUGCUCUGUAGGCUCUUCCUUCUUGGACUCCUUGAUGUAAAAAUCUCAUUUCUUUUAUGAAAUGAUCAAGGCAGUGGGGUUGCUUCUCUUUUUAAAAAUAUUCCCACCUGUUUUUUGUUUUUAAUUGGCUGCCCCAUGAAACCCCCGAUGCAGUACAUAACACACCACUGCUUCCUACCCUCUGUUUCAAUGUGGGCGAAGCAGUGAGGGGUCUUCCCAAACAGGCACAGGAUUUCAAUCUUAGUCCUAGCAAAGGCCAGCUGUGUGACCUUGGCUGAGCUCCUUAACCUCUCUGAACCACAGUUUUCUCAUCUGUAAAACGGCAGUCAUAAAGCCUACCCCCUGCAGGGCUGUUAUGAGAUUUAUAUGAAGCAGGAGUGUAAAAUGCCCCCGUGCCUGGUACAGGGAAGGUAUCCAAAAAGGGUAGUUUUCUCCUUCCCCUUACCACGGACUUGUAAACCCCAGGGACUCCCACGCCACAUACACCAUCCCUAACAAGAAAGCAUACAGACUGUGUUCACUGUUGCAGUACGUGCAUCUGGGGAAGGACUGUGUUCAAACUUGUGGAUCUGUUUUAGUUUUACAGAUUCGGUGAAGCCCAGAGACGUUAAUGGACACAGCAAACAAAGGAAGAAAUGGCCCUAAGAUGCAAAUGUUCAGUUUCUAACUGAAAAUACUUUCCCCUAUCAUCCAGCCGGCUCCUUCUUAGCCAUGAGCUCUCACCUGACCCCCUAGCAAAUCAUGUCCCCCUCCAGUAUUCUUUACCAGACCAUUCUAUUCAUUUUUUUCCCUCAACUUUGAACUAUUUGCUUGUCUCCUGCCCCUUGUUCCAGGAGGAACCUGUCUGUCACAUUCACUGCUGUAUCUCUGGCACCCAGAAGAGGCCCUGAAACUUAGCAGGUGUUCAAUAAACAUAUGCUGAGGAGGAGGACAGAGUGGAAUACAGUUUGGGGAAGAUACUUCCGCAUGAAACCAGGGCAUAAAUAGGGUGGUAUGUUAGCAAAUGCUGGCUCAGGUAUACUCGCGGUUUUGCUGGGUGACCCUGCCACUUUCCCCGUAAGAGAUGGUGUCUGUUUCUCUACCCACAGAAUCCAGGCUUGACCACGCAUCUUGUUUGGCCAAUGAGGCAUUAGCAAAUGUGAUGCAAGCAGAGGUUUGCACACUUGUGCUUGUCCUAUCUUACUGGUGGGAACCUGUUCACCAUCACAUGAAUAAGUGCAAGCUACGCUCAUGGGUGAUGAGCGUAAAGGACCCAUUCAUCCCUCCCAGGCCUUGGUCAUGUGUGCAGGGCCAUCCUAGGUCCACUUGGCCUGAGCCAAGUCAGCCCAGAUGAGACCUGCCCAGAAUUAUAACAAAUAAUAAAUGUCUAUUGUGUUAAGCCAACAAGCAUUAGGGGUUUUUAUUAGGCAGUUAACUGAUAAAAAAGAUCAUAAAAUACAUUCCACAAACCUCUCCAAAGUAAAGUGCCAGGUGUUUCUGGAAGUAGCUUACUUAUUAAGAAAUUGCUAAUUUCUGGCUUUGGAUGGUAAGGAGGUGAGAGCUGAGCAUGAGGAGGGGUGAGAGGAAAAACAGACAGAGAGUGGUGAGAGUGGCAGCCAUCCGAGGCUCACAGGACACCAGAAACAGCUGCUGCCACCUUUGGCAUGAAUGCUUUGGGCCAGCAUUCUGAGUUUUAGAAAUUGUAAGGCAGGACAUAUCACCAUGGAUUUUCUCAGAGGUUAGGAAACAUGGCCCACUGUUUGUUUUUGUAAAUAAAGUUUUAUUGGAACAUGGCCUCGCUCAUUCAUUGAUGUAUUAUCUGUGGCUCCUUUCAGGCUACAGUGGCAGUUGUAACAGAAACUAUAUGGCCUUCGAAGCCUGAAAUAUUUACUACCUGGCUCUUUACAGAAUCACUUUGUUAGCUCCUAUACUAGGGUAAUCAGGGAAGGUUCCAUGGAGUGGGUGAGUCUUAACCUGAGUCUCAAAGGAAAGAGGCAGUGUUUAUCAAGGCAUAAAGGAAUGUUAUCAGAAAGACUACUAAGAUUAUAACCGAUGUUAUACCACUGAGUGCUAGAGUAGCUGUAAUAAGUUAAUGAUAAUACAAACAAUAACUAAGCAUAUAUAUCACUUCGUGCCAGAUAUAUGCUCAUUAUAUUUUCAUGUAACUCAUUUUAUCCUCACAAUAAUAUUAUGAGGCAGUGGUAUUAUUCUCUCCAUUUUUCCAAUUGGGAAAACAGAGACACAGAGAAUUAAAGAUGCUUGUCCAAGGUCGUGAAGCUAGCAAGGAGCCUAGUUAGGAUUCAAAUCCUGGUAUUUUCUCUCUAAAUCCCAUACUCUUUGAAAGUUACAAAAACAGAAAUGUAAAAUAUAAAGAAGGCUAAAAUUGUGCAGAAAUUCUAGCUGUGCACAAUGAAACUGUUUCGUAAAGACAUGAGAAAAUCAGCUUUAUUACUUUAUACUGUCAAACCUUCCUGACUAACUACACUAUGUCUUCAUUUUACGUACUCUUUGUCCCCUGUAAAAAUUUGCCAUUGCAUAGCUGGAAAUCCCCUAAAGACGACAUCCCUAUGGUCCAUCUAGUGGCUAUAUUGCCAUGGUGAUGCUGUCAACACAGCAGUCAUUGGCCGUUCCCUACCAGGCAGAUCACAACCUAUUUGUUAACAGCUAAGGCUGAUACUGCCACCUGGUCCCUAGGGAGACAGAAGGUUCUCUUUCCCAAACAACAGUCAAUGAGGUCGUUCUGGCAUGAGAGGCAAAGGCACUGUGGAUAUUACUUCCGAAAGACACAAAUUGGGUUGUGUUUGGGAAUCCUACUUUAGAGCAGGGGUUCCCAGCCCAGGGUAGUGACCUUGAUCUCCAGCCAAAGGAUGGACCAGCCCUUAUAGGUCAACGAGGGGCCCAUGGUGUAUCUGCUGGUAGCCCCAAAGGUGUCAGGCAUGGGAUCCACUAUAAACAAUCAAAUUCAAGAUAGGAAGAAUUCCUGAAGCAAUG